rfam:Brachypodium distachyon strain Bd21 chromosome 4, whole genome shotgun sequence.
GAAAUACUCCCUCUGUCCCAUAUUAAGUGAUUUUAUAUUACAUGUAUCUAGACGCUUUUUAGUCAUAGAUGCAUCCAUAUUUGAGCAAAUUUGAGUCACUUAAUAUGGGACGGAGGGAGUAGAAU